GGGGUGUUAGCUCAGUUGGUUAGAGCGCCACGUUGACAUCGUGGAGGUC
rnacentral:tRNA from 1 species